rnacentral:rRNA from 1 species
AGAGUUUGAUCCUGGCUCAGGAUGAACGCUGGCGGCGUGCCUAAUACAUGCAAGUCGAGCGAACGGACGAGAAGCUUGCUUCUCUGAUGUUAGCGGCGGACGGGUGAGUAACACGUGGAUAACCUACCUAUAAGACUGGGAUAACUUCGGGAAACCGGAGCUAAUACCGGAUAAUAUUUUGAACCGCAUGGUUCAAAAGUGAAAGACGGUCUUGCUGUCACUUAUAGAUGGAUCCGCGCUGCAUUAGCUAGUUGGUAAGGUAACGGCUUACCAAGGCAACGAUGCAUAGCCGACCUGAGAGGGUGAUCGGCCACACUGGAACUGAGACACGGUCCAGACUCCUACGGGAGGCAGCAGUAGGGAAUCUUCCGCAAUGGGCGAAAGCCUGACGGAGCAACGCCGCGUGAGUGAUGAAGGUCUUCGGAUCGUAAAACUCUGUUAUUAGGGAAGAACAUAUGUGUAAGUAACUGUGCACAUCUUGACGGUACCUAAUCAGAAAGCCACGGCUAACUACGUGCCAGCAGCCGCGGUAAUACGUAGGUGGCAAGCGUUAUCCGGAAUUAUUGGGCGUAAAGCGCGCGUAGGCGGUUUUUUAAGUCUGAUGUGAAAGCCCACGGCUCAACCGUGGAGGGUCAUUGGAAACUGGAAAACUUGAGUGCAGAAGAGGAAAGUGGAAUUCCAUGUGUAGCGGUGAAAUGCGCAGAGAUAUGGAGGAACACCAGUGGCGAAGGCGACUUUCUGGUCUGUAACUGACGCUGAUGUGCGAAAGCGUGGGGAUCAAACAGGAUUAGAUACCCUGGUAGUCCACGCCGUAAACGAUGAGUGCUAAGUGUUAGGGGGUUUCCGCCCCUUAGUGCUGCAGCUAACGCAUUAAGCACUCCGCCUGGGGAGUACGACCGCAAGGUUGAAACUCAAAGGAAUUGACGGGGACCCGCACAAGCGGUGGAGCAUGUGGUUUAAUUCGAAGCAACGCGAAGAACCUUACCAAAUCUUGACAUCCUUUGACAACUCUAGAGAUAGAGCCUUCCCCUUCGGGGGACAAAGUGACAGGUGGUGCAUGGUUGUCGUCAGCUCGUGUCGUGAGAUGUUGGGUUAAGUCCCGCAACGAGCGCAACCCUUAAGCUUAGUUGCCAUCAUUAAGUUGGGCACUCUAAGUUGACU